rnacentral:rRNA from 1 species
AUUGAACGCUGGCGGCAGGCCUAACACAUGCAAGUCGAACGAGUGGCGGACGGGUGAGUAAUGUCUGGGAAACUGCCUGAUGGAGGGGGAUAACUACUGGAAACGGUAGCUAAUACCGCAUACCAUCGGAUGUGCCCAGAUGGGAUUAGCUAGUAGGUGGGGUAAAGGCUCACCUAGGCGACGAUCCCUAGCUGGUCUGAGAGGAUGACCAGCCAGACUGCGACUGAGACACGGUCCAGACUCCUACGGGAUGCAGCAGUGGGGAAUAUUGCAAAAGGCGCGCGGGCCUGAUGCAGCCAUGCCGCGUGUAGGAAGAGGGCAUUCGGGUUGUAAAGUGCUUUCAGCGGGGAGGCGUUACUCGGAGAAGAAGCACCGGCUAACUCCGCGCCAGCAGCCGCGGUAAUUC